UACGUAGGGUGCAAGCGUUGUCCGGAAUUAUUGGGCGUAAAGAGCUCGUAGGCGGUUUGUCGCGUCUGCUGUGAAAACUCGGGGCUUAACUCCGGGCCUGCAGUGGGUACGGGCAGACUAGAGUGCGGUAGGGGAGACUGGAAUUCCUGGUGUAGCGGUGAAAUGCGCAGAUAUCAGGAGGAACACCGGUGGCGAAGGCGGGUCUCUGGGCCGAGAUUGACGCUGAGGAGCGAAAGCGUGGGGAGCGAACAGG
rnacentral:rRNA from 1 species